GUGUUGGUGUUUAAGUUGUUGAAUUCUUGCCUUCCAGGCAGAAGACCUGGGUUUGAUUCUUAGCCAACAUA
rnacentral:tRNA from 1 species